GAUGAACGCUGGCGGCGUGCCUAAUACAUGCAAGUCGAGCGAACAGACGAGGAGCUUGCUCCUCUGACGUUAGCGGCGGACGGGUGAGUAACACGUGGAUAACCUACCUAUAAGACUGGGAUAACUUCGGGAAACCGGAGCUAAUACCGGAUAAUAUAUUGAACCGCAUGGUUCAAUAGUGAAAGACGGUUUUGCUGUCACUUAUAGAUGGAUCCGCGCCGCAUUAGCUAGUUGGUAAGGUAACGGCUUACCAAGGCAACGAUGCGUAGCCGACCUGAUAGGGUGAUCGGCCACACUGGAACUGAGACACGGUCCAGACUCCUACGGGAGGCAGCAGUAGGGAAUCUUACGCAAUGGGCGAAAGCCUGACGGAGCAACGCCGCGUGAGUGAUGAAGGUCUUCGGAUCGUAAAACUCUGUUAUUAGGGAAGAACAAAUGUGUAAGUAACUAUGCACGUCUUGACGGUACCUAAUCAGAAAGCCACGGCUAACUACGUG
rnacentral:rRNA from 1 species